GUGCUCACUUCGGCAGCACAUAUACUAAAAUUGGAACGAUACAGAGGAGAUUAGCAUGGCCCCUGCGCAAGGAUGACACGCAAAUUCGUGAAACGUUCCAUAAUUUU
ensembl:snRNA U6 U6 spliceosomal RNA